rnacentral:rRNA from 1 species
AUCUGGGCGGCGGAAUUCAGGAUGGCUGGCGUGCUCCCGCGCGUCUGUCGUUUUGAUAUUUCCGUCGCCAACUAACCGCAGACGUCGCGACCUGUUCGCGGUCGGUCCCUGCUCGGAGGAGCCGCGUUCGAGCUCGUUGUGUGCGCGUUUCGGCGUGUCACACGGUGAAGGCGCGGAUCUCUGGCUGGCCGUCGGACAGUAUGCUUAACGGUGUCCGGUGUCGUCGUCUCGUACGCGCGGCAUCGGUACCGGUCAGCGACGAAUUCUUCGGGCCUCUUUCCGACCCGUCUUGAAACACGGACCAAGGAGUCUAACAUGCGCGCGAGUCGCGGGGUAUCGAGCGUACUUCGGUGCGUUCGUUAUGUUGCGAAACCCGUACAUGUGAAGGCGUAAUGAAAGUGAAUGAGGAAGAUGGUGUUCCGAGUACACGUUCCGCGAUCGUCGGUAUCGCGGCCGGGCACCCGCAUUCCCAGGGCGUCUCAACGGCCCGUCGUUGAUGCGGACAGUCGUCUCUCGGGGCGGCUGUCGGUCGGCGACGAACCGA